GUGCUUGUUUCGGCAGCACAUAUACUAAAAUUGAAACGAUACAGAGAAGAUUAGCAUGGUCCCUGGACAAGGAUGACAUGCAAAUUCGUAAAGUGUUCCAUAUUUUA